rnacentral:rRNA from 1 species
UGCGUAGGGGCUAGCGUUAUCCGGAAUUACUGGGCGUAAAGGGUGCGUAGGUGGUUUCUUAAGUCAGAGGUGAAAGGCUACGGCUCAACCGUAGUAAGCCUUUGAAACUGGGAAACUUGAGUGCAGGAGAGGAGAGUGGAAUUCCUAGUGUAGCGGUGAAAUGCGUAGAUAUUAGGAGGAACACCAGUUGCGAAGGCGGCUCUCUGGACUGUAACUGACACUGAGGCACGAAAGCGUGGGGAGCAAACAGGAUUAGAUACCCGGGUAGUCCCUGAGCGGG